UAGGAUAAACGUACAAGGGAGUUUUUCAAUUAAAGUGAUAUUAUUCGAAAUGAGAUUCUUUAUUUAUUAUGAGCCAUCACUUGGGAUAGGUUUGGCUUUGGUGUCCCAAGUCACCGGUUUAUUCAGAAUCCCAAAUCGAGAAAAUGUUUUGACUUCCCAAAUGGAGUCUGGGAACCCGAAAUUCGAAGUAAGGAAUUUUGUUGACCCGAGGGAAGGUGUUAGGCACCCCCGAAUCCCGUGGUUCUAGCACAAUCGCUUAAACUAUUAUAAAUGGCUAAAAUUCUAAUUUUACACAUGUUCAUCCUAAAAAUGCGAUUUUUAAUUACUUACACCGCUUUUAAUAUUUUUUAAAGGAAAUUGCAAUAUCGUUAAAACAUGCAACGAACCACGUCACAGAAAUGCACCCGCGGUUUUUGACAUAUUUUAAUUUUAUUGAGAUUUGAAUUUGGGUAACAUAAAUAUGCACUUGUACUUAGGAAGAUAAAAUUAUUAAAGACGCACUUAAAGCGACUAUCAUGUUAUUUGCGGGAAGCCGUGAAGUUCGCUAAACGGCGUGUCCUGAAUUCUCGCUUACCUGCCCGACGGGUAGACCCAAUAGAAUAAAUAGAAUAAGAGGCUUGACCUAGAGCCCUUCUCUUCCCCCUGAAAAAAAUCGGAUAUUUGGCAUGAGUAGCCUACGAGCCCUUACUUGAUGUCUGCGCUAACUGCCCUAUAGCUGGUGAAUCCUUUGAAUCAUAGGAAUGGCAAAAUCAGUAGAUACCGGGCGGAUAUUUGGCAUGAGUUAGACCCAAUAGAAUAAAUAGAAUAAGAGGCUUGACCUAGAGCUCUUCUCUUCCCCCUGAAAAAAAUCGGAUAUUUGGCAUGAGUAGCCUACGAGCCCUUCUAAGUAUUUUAAUAUGAACAUUUAAAGAGAGCCACGCAAUUUAUGGGUUUUAUUUGGCACUGUGCAGCUCAAUUCCGAUGUUAUCUACUACGGCCCACUUCCACUAAUUAUUUAAAGAGAAAUUUCCAAAUUUGGUUUUGAGGGCUAUAGCUAUUGGAAUUACAAGAAUCAUUUAUACUAUGUAGCUUCCGUUUGCCUCUUGAAAUUUAACGACUAAUGUAACAAAUGAAUACACUGAUUUUGAUAACUAUGUAAACUCAAAGGGAAACAAAGUACUUAUUUAACAAUCUUUUAUUAAAAAAAAAACGUAAAGCAAAAAGCAUUUGUCAUUGAGCAGUAACAACACAUGUAGUCCAUAUCUUGUUAUGUCGUGUUUUGACAAUAAUUGCUUAAUGAAAUCACUAGCAUUUUAGUAAUCAACUUGAACAUUGCAUCUACUAGCCCAAUAAUGAACAGAUCUUAGCAAGACGGACUUGAGAUAUUCAUCUCCUUUCAAGCUCACUUUGGAAAUUUAAUGUUUUAGAAAUAUGGCUAGGAAUAUCAUCGAGUUUAUCUUCUGCAUCAAGCACAACAUUAAAAUUCCCAACAAAUGAACAAGGUUCAGCCUAUAUAUACAACACCUCUAUUCAAUUAUAGACCAAGCAGAUUUAAAUUUAAAGCAUAGGAAAUACUAUCACAGAGAAUAUUUCCAACAAGUCAAAAUAGUUAAAUACCAUUUCCUAUUAAUUAACAAAUAAAACAAAAAACAAAAAUUUCAUAGCCUCAGCAAACUCCAAAAAAGAAAAGGCCGAAUUAUCUAUUAAUAUCAAGCCUAGCAUCUCUCAUACCCUACUCGAAUCUCCUGCAUUACUUUGCAUUUUAUUUUAUAUAUAACAAAAAGGAAGAAAGCAAACAAUAGCAUAAUAUCGUUCGAAUUUCCCCAAGAGCAAGGUGGAAAAUUCUUGGAGGGAAGGAUGCCGAGAUCUAUUUGAAAACGGCCUCUCUACUCCAGGGUAGAGGUAAGGUCACUGAAUUAUACUAUCCUCCCUAGACCCCGCUAUGUGAGAUUAUACUGGUUGUUUGUUGUUGUAAAAAGCAAUAUUAGCUGCAAUCCAAAACAUGUCUAAAUAGAUGAAUAAUCAUUGCAGAUCUCGUAACAUAAUACCAUCCAAACAAAUAUUACAUUAUUUGAAAUUAGAAACUCAUACCUUGACCAUAAAAAAGAAUCCCAAACAUAAGCCAAACAGAAGCUGGACAGAGAACCCAGCUGAAGCUCAACAAGACAGCAAACAACACGACCGCAACCCACGGGAAAAAUCAGCCUUCGACCGCUUACAUUCAAAAAUCUGGAAUAAUUUGAUUUUCAUCUUGGAAACAACUUGAGAACUCAAAAAUAUGCAGCGACUAAACAAAAUUGGAACUAACUUCAAUUUCCCCUCUUCUUUUGGACUUGUGCUCCAAUUUCUGGAGCAUUUGUUUUCGAUUUAGGGCUUUUUUAAAAAUAAAAAUAAAAAAUUCUUAGCUCUAAUAUGUGCUUCUACUAUGUGUUAGUGAGAAGGGAUGAGUAAGUGUGAGGAAGAAGGAGAAGAAAAUCUCUUAAGAAGAUAGUUUAUUCGGUUCUUCGUAAGGAUGGAAAGAGAAAACGCCGAUUUUUGUUCUAUAUGUUUUUUUGCUAAAAACAACCCCCAUCUUUUCUAGGUCUAAUCUUGCUUUAUAAUAAAAAUAAAGUUUGAGCCAAGAGGGUAUUGGAUAUGAUAUUGGGUUGGGCAAGAAAGAAGGAAAUUGGACCCCUUUUUUUGGAACUGGC
rnacentral:lncRNA from 1 species